rnacentral:rRNA from 1 species
UACAGAGGCUCCAGGCGUUAUCCGGAAUAACUGGGCGUAAAGGGUGUGUAGGUGGUCGUGUUAGUCUCUCGUUAAAGCUCCCGGCCUAACCGGGAAAAUGCGGGGGAAACGGCACGACUCGAGGGUGCGAGGGGUCUGUAGAACUCAUGGAGUAGGGGUGAAAUCCGUUGAUAUCAUGGGGAAUACCAAAAGCGAAGGCAGCAGACUGGCGCAUUCCUGACACUGAAACACGAAAGCGUGGGUAGCGAAUGGG